rnacentral:pre_miRNA from 1 species
ACUUUAACAUGGAGGCACUUGCUGUGGUAUGACAAAAAUAAGUGCUUCCAUGUUUGAGUGU